rnacentral:lncRNA from 1 species
UUACUCUGACUUUUCAGUCAUAGUGUAUGAAAUGACAGAUUAGUAUAUUUUUACGAAUGUACAAUUUUUUAUUUGCAGAUAAUAUCUGGAAAAUGAUCUGGAUACCUAAUAAUCUGAAUUCAUUAAGUUUACUUUCAUUUUAAAUCACUUAAUGCAGCUGACAUAAACGACAUUUUUUAAAUUCCCGUGUCUACUUACGUUUAAUUUGUUGUCUUUCGGAAAAAUAUAGUGAGACACAUUUUUUUAAGGGUUUUCCAAGGAGAAUGGAAUGGAAGUCAUGAACACAUUACCUCAAACUUCAUGCAACAAAGAACAACAAAUAAGUCCAAAAUCAGGAGAAAGAACUUUCCAAAAUUCAAUUUGUUCUAAAAAUUGUUCUGACAAA